rnacentral:tRNA from 1 species
AAGGCUUUAAGUUAAAAAACCAAACUAAUAUCCUUCAAAGUUAUAAAUAAAGAUUACCUUUAAGUCUUA